rnacentral:rRNA from 1 species
AGCGAACGCUGGCGGCAGGCCUAACACAUGCAAGUCGAACGAACUCUUCGGAGUUAGUGGCGGACGGGUGAGUAACACGUGGGAACGUGCCGUUUGGUUCGGAAUAACUCAGGGAAACUUGUGCUAAUACCGAAUGUGCCCUUCGGGGGAAAGAUUUUUCGCCAUUAGAGCGGCCCGCGUCUGAUUAGCUAGUUGGUGAGGUAACGGCGCACCAAGGCGACGAUCAGUAGCUGGUCUGAGAGGAUGACCAGCCACACUGGGACUGAGACACGGCCCAGACUCCUACGGGAGGCAGCAGUGGGGAAUCUUGCGCAAUGGGCGAAAGCCUGACGCAGCCAUGCCGCGUGAAUGAUGAAGGUCUUAGGAUUGUAAAAUUCUUUCACCGGGGACGAUAAUGACGGUACCCGGAGAAGAAGCCCCGGCUAACUUCGUG